UACGAAGGGGGCUAGCGUUGCUCGGAAUUACCGGGCGUAAAGCGCACGUAGGCGGCUUUCUAAGUCGGGGGUGAAAUCCUGGAGCUCAACUCCAGAACUGCCUUCGAUACUGGAGAGCUUGAGUCCGGGAGAGGUGAGUGGAACUGCGAGUGUAGAGGUGAAAUUCGUAGAUAUUCGCAAGAACACCAGUGGCGAAGGCGGCUCACUGGCCCGGUACUGACGCUGAUGUGCGAAAGCGUGGGAGCAAACAGG
rnacentral:rRNA from 1 species